rnacentral:piRNA from 1 species
UAAAUAAAUAAAUGUCACUGUAAAC